CUACGGGGGGCAGCAGUGGGGAAUUUUGCGCAAUGGACGAAAGUCUGACGCAACAACGCCGCGUGGGUGAUGAAGGUCUUCGGAUCGUAAAACCCUGUCGUCAGGGACGAAGUGUUGAGGGCUAAUAUCCUUCAGCAUUGACGGUACCUGGAGAGGAAGCCCCGGCUAACUCUGGUGCCAGCAGCCGCGGUAAUACAGAGGGGGCAAGCGAUAUUCGGAAUUAUUGGGCGUAAAGGGCGCGUAGGCGGUCUUUUAAGUCAGAUGUGCAAUCCCCGAGCUCAACGUGGGAACUGCAUCUGAGACUGGAAGACUCGAGUGCUGGAGAGGGUGGUAGAAUUCCACGUGUAGCGGUGAGAUGCGUAGAGAUGUGGAGGAAUACCAGUGGCGAAGGCGGCCACCUGGACAGUAACUGACGCUGAGGCGCGAAAGUGUGGGUAGCAAACAGGAUUAGAUACCCUAGUAGUC
rnacentral:rRNA from 1 species